rnacentral:rRNA from 1 species
ACGAACGCUGGCGGCGUGCCUAAUACAUGCAAGUCGAACGCUUCUUUUUCCACCGGAGCUUGCUCCACCGGAAAAAGAGGAGUGGCGAACGGGUGAGUAACACGUGGGUAACCUGCCCAUCAGAAGGGGAUAACACUUGGAAACAGGUGCUAAUACCGUAUAACAAUCGAAACCGCAUGGUUUUGAUUUGAAAGGCGCUUUCGGGUGUCGCUGAUGGAUGGACCCGCGGUGCAUUAGCUAGUUGGUGAGGUAACGGCUCACCAAGGCGACGAUGCAUAGCCGACCUGAGAGGGUGAUCGGCCACAUUGGGACUGAGACACGGCCCAAACUCCUACGGGAGGCAGCAGUAGGGAAUCUUCGGCAAUGGACGAAAGUCUGACCGAGCAACGCCGCGUGAGUGAAGAAGGUUUUCGGAUCGUAAAACUCUGUUGUUAGAGAAGAACAAGGAUGAGAGUAACUGUUCAUCCCUUGACGGUAUCUAACCAGAAAGCCACGGCUAACUACGUGCCAGCAGCCGCGGUAAUACGUAGGUGGCAAGCGUUGUCCGGAUUUAUUGGGCGUAAAGCGAGCGCAGGCGGUUUCUUAAGUCUGAUGUGAAAGCCCCCGGCUCAACCGGGGAGGGUCAUUGGAAACUGGGAGACUUGAGUGCAGAAGAGGAGAGUGGAAUUCCAUGUGUAGCGGUGAAAUGCGUAGAUAUAUGGAGGAACACCAGUGGCGAAGGCGGCUCUCUGGUCUGUAACUGACGCUGAGGCUCGAAAGCGUGGGGAGCAAACAGGAUUAGAUACCCUGGUAGUCCACGCCGUAAACGAUGAGUGCUAAGUGUUGGAGGGUUUCCGCCCUUCAGUGCUGCAGCUAACGCAUUAAGCACUCCGCCUGGGGAGUACGACCGCAAGGUUGAAACUCAAAGGAAUUGACGGGGGCCCGCACAAGCGGUGGAGCAUGUGGUUUAAUUCGAAGCAACGCGAAGAACCUUACCAGGUCUUGACAUCCUUUGACCACUCUAGAGAUAGAGCUUCCCCUUCGGGGGCAAAGUGACAGGUGGUGCAUGGUUGUCGUCAGCUCGUGUCGUGAGAUGUUGGGUUAAGUCCCGCAACGAGCGCAACCCUUAUUGUUAGUUGCCAUCAUUUAGUUGGGCACUCUAGCAAGACUGCCGGUGACAAACCGGAGGAAGGUGGGGAUGACGUCAAAUCAUCAUGCCCCUUAUGACCUGGGCUACACACGUGCUACAAUGGGAAGUACAACGAGUCGCAAAGUCGCGAGGCUAAGCUAAUCUCUUAAAGCUUCUCUCAGUUCGGAUUGUAGGCUGCAACUCGCCUACAUGAAGCCGGAAUCGCUAGUAAUCGCGGAUCAGCACGCCGCGGGUGAAUACGUUCCCGGGCCUUGUACACACCGCCCGUCACACCACGAGAGUUUGUAACACCCGAAGUCGGUGAGGUAACCUUUUGGAGCCAGCC